CUGGUAAUCCUGGUGGCCCUGGUGGCCCUCUUGGUCCAGGCUCACCCGGGGGACCUUGCUCACCCCUCAGACUGCGCAUGGGAAUUUCUGGAUCAGGAAGAAACGAAGAAAGCGGGGAAGAGAGAGAGAGAGAGAUAAAAGCACAGUCCUGACCACAGCAAGUAGUGAUUUUACAGAAAGCAGCGGUUGCAGUCACAUCUGAGGUACAUAGCUGCUGUGAGGAGUCUGAAGCUAUGUUUUCAUGAGUGAGUGAAGAAGUCCAGCAACUGACUCCUAUUUAAAAUAAAUGGUCCUGGAAAUAUAAGAGCCACUGGUUUCCCACCAAUCAGAGUAACUCCAAGGAGCCAAAGACACCCAAAGACCCAAGAAGCUACAGCCCUAGCAGGGCCAUUUUGGAGAUGGCUGCAGCUUGCUACACCUCCUUCUUCCAAGUGGCCUGGCAGAGAAAAUAUCUUGUGUUUCUGCUCUGGGGCGAUCUCUUCUACCAGCCUAUGGGCAGAGUAAGAUAUUCUCCCCAAAAUUCAUACUGAAGAAUUGAAAAUGUUCCAAGGUGGUUAAGCACCUUUCAGAUGCAUCCUGCCCAGCACACAAGGACCAGCAAAAGGAGCCUACUAGAAUGUUCUCCUAAAAUUGUCUGCUAUAGGUUUCCACACUGUGAAAUAUCCUAUACUGGGAAUAUCUGUUCCUGUAGGCAGUGUCCCUUCUGCAUUCCUGAAAGGCUCUGGCACUAAGGAGGAGGAAGAAUUCUUGAGUGGAAGAUGAAGUAAGAAGAGACAGGAAAUGCUUGAUUGAAGAGAGGGAGGAUAAACCUGCUUGACAGUAGGUCAGUUUGUGUCCAAAGGAAAUGCUGGAAUCUCCCUUCUCAAGGGAAUUAAAAAACUAAGCAUUAGAAAAUGUACUGCAGGGAACAAUACUGCACUGGCAGGAAAAUGGGAUGGAUGAUCUAAUUGUUUUCCAUCUUGUCUAAGUCUGUGAAUAAUACCGAUCACUUUAGUUGCUCGUUUCCCUACUAAUUUCCAAAGUAUUCUAAUUUGGGAAUUACUUCUUUUGAAAGAAAUUAUAUUAAUAAUUAUUUAUUUUAAUCCGUCAGGUCUGAGGCGCAGCAUAUUCUGUAACCGACUUUCAAAAUUUGUACCUAGAUGUAGUACUAAACUCAGGCAAAUAUAUAUAGAUACAGCUUGUUUUUACAGUGUUUAUCUGCAGAGUUUUGGGGGCAGUCAUACUCAGCUGUUUGGUGGUGUGAUAUGAGUAAUUCUGUGCAAGGAAAUCUGUAAAGUUUGCAUAAUAAUCUUUGAAGAGAUUUUGAAUUUCCUUUGUUCUCCUGCUAUCACAGGUUUUUCCUGAUACAAUGACAGCAAGUGUCACACUAUCUAUAUGGAUGUUAGUUAGCAUGACAAGCAUACACUACAUAUAUGUCUCUAGCAGGCUUGAUAGUAUUCAUUCUUUUAUUAUGGGAACAGAAAUAGAAAGGAUAUUUUUGCUGAACUGGAAAUUUUAUAGGUUUUGUUGUGCUGUUCACCAACAAAGUUUAAGGUAAUUUAGUUGUGCAAAUAGACUUCAUCUUACUAUUCCCUUAUUUCUGUAGCCCAAAUUUGGUGUAGUUUAUAUUGUUUCUAUGUGACUUUUGAUUUAGUUCCCCAUUAAGAAAAUUCUACACAUAAACACGUAUACACUUGCAUAAAUAUUAAACGAAAUAUCAGGGAGAUAUUUAAUGAAUGUAUACAUUUCACACCAGAUCUAUCUCUGGUGUGAAAUGUAUACAUUGCUUUAACUCCAACCAUUCAGACUGAGAUUGCUGAAUUAGAUCUCAGAUUCAGCAGGUUAAGCUGAACCUUAUCUUAUUGCUUAUCUCAGCAAUGUGGAUGUUUCAAACAGCAAGACUGUUUGAAAGACUGUAUGUUCUUUAAGACAGAAUUCAUAUAGCUCUAUCCUUGAGUCCAGGGAGAUGAGCUAAGCAGAUUUCAACAUGCUAUUACUUCACAAACACUAACCAGUUUAUCAUCCUAACUGGUAUAUUAAGGAGUGUAUCACCAGCAUGUUUUCACACAAAGAAAUUGAGACACACAAAAAUUUUACUCAGACUUACACAAGCAGUGGGUGACCUUGCUGCUGAUCAUUGGAAGUAUUCAGGGAAAGUUAUGUGCCUCAUGAGUGUGCAUACAGAUUUUGCAUCCAGGUCCUGCACUUGAAAUGCAAACCUUGGCAUGCUUGUACCGUGAACCCAGAAAUGUCUUGUUUCAUAAUUUACUCAAUCAGUGACAUGUAGCUCAUUCUAAAAGCACAAUACCAGCAUGAACUUUCACUUAGAAAAAAUAGUAUCAAGAAGCUACAUCCAUCUAUGUAUCUACCUGUUAAGAAAAGAACUGAUUCUGUUUUGGAUCCAAGGCAUUAUGAUGACUUGUUUAGGAUAGACUUUCAAGGCAGCAAUUAAUGCUGAGAGCCAGUUACUUUGCUAAACUCAAAAAAUUGUUGAUCCCUUUAUGAAUCUAAUAUGGAGAGCUUGUACUAGUCAUCACAAUGAGAAACUUUUUUGAAACGUCCAUGCUAGAAUUCAUGAUGCUGUUUAGUAAUUUGAGAAAAUGGGCUUUCAUUUAGCUCCUGUCACAGUGAAAUUUGUACAACACACUCAAAACAAAAGCAUCCAGCAGUAACACAGUAUGUUCUUAAUCAGAAAAAAAUUUACUAUGAGCUAGGGUUCAGUCAAAAAAAGAAAUAGGAAGCUUGCUGUCUUUGUGAGCUUCAGUAAACCUGUUCAUCAGUAUCUCUUCAGCAGUUCUCUAUGUUGCAGCAACACUUAAAUAUCAGUCAAUUUAAAUUUAGCCUGUAAAUUUGUGUCCUAUAUGCCAUAACUGUUCAUGAUUCAAUUAUUUUGUAUAUAUUAUAACUCUUGAAAUAAUGUCAUUUUAAGUAUUUUAAAUAUAGCUGGAAAAAAUCUUUAGGUUUAGGACAAGAAGGGCUAAACUAAUGAAUAGUUUAUAAAAAUAUGAAAUAAAUGUUAAUUCAUCAUUUAUGGUCGUUAAUAAUAUAGCUGUACCUGGAAGAGCUAAAUGGAAAUAAAAUUGCAGAGUCAGUUUCA